rnacentral:tRNA from 1 species
GCGAAGGUGGCGGAAUUGGUAGACGCGCUAGCUUCAGGUGUUAGUGUCCUUACGGACGUGGGUUCAAGUCCCCCUCGCACCA